UACAGAGGUCUCAAGCGUUGUUCGGAUUCAUUGGGCGUAAAGGGUGCGUAGGUGGCGCGGUAAGUCGGGUGUGAAAUCUCGGGGCUUAACUCCGAAACUGCAUUCGACACUGCCGUGCUUGAGGACUGGAGAGGAGACUGGAAUUUACGGUGUAGCAGUGAAAUGCGUAGAUAUCGUAAGGAAGACCAGUGGCGAAGGCGGGUCUCUGGACAGUUCCUGACACUGAGGCACGAAGGCCAGGGGAGCAAACGGG
rnacentral:rRNA from 1 species